GAUGCGCGUCCUAUACAUGCAAGUCGAACGCACAGCGAAAGGUGCUUGCACCUUUCAGGUGAGUGGCGAACGGGUGAGUAACACGUGGAUAACCUACCUCAAGGUUGGGGAUAACAUUUGGAAACAGAUGCUAAUACCGAAUAAAACUUCGUAUCGCAUGAUACAAGGUUAAAAGGCGCUACGGCGUCACCUAGAGAUGGAUCCGCGGUGCAUUAGUUAGUUGGUGGGGUAAAGGCCUACCAAGACAAUGAUGCAUAGCCGAGUUGAGAGACUGAUCGGCCACAUUGGGACUGAGACACGGCCCAAACUCCUACGGGAGGCUGCAGUAGGGAAUCUUCCACAAUGGGCGAAAGCCUGAUGGAGCAACGCCGCGUGCGUGAUGAAGGCUUUCGGGUCGUAAAGCACUGUUGUAUGGGAAGAACAGCUAGAGUAGGGAAUGACUUUAGUUUGACGGUACCAUACCAGAAAGGGACGGCUAAAUACGUGCCAGCAGCCGCGGUAAUACGUAUGUCCCGAGCGUUAUCCGGAUUUAUUGGGCGUAAAGCGAGCGCAGACGGUUGAUUAAGUCUGAUGUGAAAGCCCGGAGCUCAACUCCGGAAAGGCAUUGGAAACUGGUCAACUUGAGUGCAGUAGAGGUAAGUGGAACUCCAUGUGUAGCGGUGGAAUGCGUAGAUAUAUGGAAGAACACCAGCGGCGAAGGCGGCUUACU
rnacentral:rRNA from 1 species